UAUAAAAACAUUAAGGUUAUGUUACGCGUUUAAGGUGUGUAAAUUAAUAAUAGGUUAGGUACCUUAAUUAUUGUUUAAUUGGGUAAUUUCAAGGUAAAAGUUUAUUGGGAGUACUACCCAUCCUAUCUUUUUAUUAAACAACCUCAAGUGAAUAUGAUCCUAAUAAACUAUAACCAUACAGAAGACUUCAAAUUGUAACUACAGGUAACAUUUAGCAUGGUAUUGCGAAAGACAUUUAAAAAACUCUACCACAGGAAUACUACCCAACCUAUCUUUUUAUUAAACAACCUCAAGUGAAUAUGAUCCUAACUAAAAUAAUGAGUGUAAAGUGUAUGUUACACUACAAACUAUAACCAUACAGGAGACUUCAAAUUGUAACUACAGGGGUCGUCCGUUAAUAAUGGAUUAAUUCAUCUCCAGGGUCUACGCCAUUAGUAGAUUAUGGUGAUAAUCUACCCGUGGAGACGCAAUAUUUUUGGAGGAGAAUGAAGGGGCGAAGCUUUUGUACCAGGCUUAAAACGUGGAAAUACCGUUUACGCAACAUGUGUUGCUCACUUCGUGCCAUUGCGCCCCCUUCUUUACACUUGGUGCGCCCUUCCCCACUAGACACAUCGAAUUUUCGCAAAAGCGGAGGCAAAACAAGCGCAAGGAAGGGCGGCAGAUGCGUCCUCUCGCUAAAUUUAUGACACCCGCGUACGUGGAUCUAAUACAUGAAAGUUUUAAAUGACUACGUUCAGGAGGCCAAGGAGACGUAGCGUUGUGCACCAGCUACGCUCGUGGACGGGACGUAUUUUACACACUGCAAGGACCAAUGCGCCAUGAGUUAGAGACUUGUUUUUCGUUUGAUCGGAAAUCGCUCGGAAAUAGAUAUUGGUUGUUGCUCGGUAAACAGGACUAUAUAUACCGGAGGAACUGGGUUACUUUCGGUCGACGGUGGAAGUGUAUUGAUAAAUUUCAAUUGCGUAUAUCGGAUGUACUAGAGAUCUUCUUGAUUUGUAACCAUAGCUUGAUGUAAAUCACUAUAGGUUUUUAUAUUCAUUGAAAGAUCUCAAGUAACUUUAAAAAACGUAACUUAAUAUUAACAUUAUUAAGAAAAUGUUUUGCUUGUAAACAGAGGAUUAACAACCAAGAAAGCGUUAAAGUUUCCUCCUCGUUAAAGUAAACUUAUUCUUGGAACCUGGAAAUAUUUACUUCCACUUUGAAGCAUUUCUAUUAAAAAUAUCCUUUUUAAAACCAUCCAAUUAGUGUUAAAACCUUAAUCAUCUUUUAGUAUCUCAUUUUUUUUAAAUUUCUAUUGUCAAAACUAUGCAAAAUACAUAUUGGGUAUUAAAUUUAUGGGAAUAAUGAAAAUUUAUAAUUUCCUCCGGUUGACCAUAGAUGCAAAUUAGAACCAAUUGAUUACGAGAAUGUCGAAGACCGGGGUCAUAAAUCGGCUGUCAUUUACGCAACGUGCGUGUUUCGCGGAUUUAUCGGUUUUAUAAUCGCACUUCUUCUCCAUUAGCACAAAUCACAAUUUAUAACUAGGAGAGAACCCAAAACUACACCCCCGGGAUUCUACGUUUAAUGACACCCUUAAUGGUUUAAUUAUUUUACUACACAGUAACUAUUUCAUUAUUAAAGUUAUUUAAA